rnacentral:rRNA from 1 species
GUGGGGAAUAUUGGACAAUGGGCGAAAGCCUGAUCCAGCCAUGCCGCGUGUGUGAAGAAGGUCUUCGGAUUGUAAAGCACUUUAAGUUGGGAGGAAGGGCAGUAAGUUAAUACCUUGCUGUUUUGACGUUACCGACAGAAUAAGCACCGGCUAACUCUGUGCCAGCAGCCGCGGUAAUACAGAGGGUGCAAGCGUUAAUCGGAAUUACUGGGCGUAAAGCGCGCGUAGGUGGUUCGUUAAGUUGGAUGUGAAAGCCCCGGGCUCAACCUGGGAACUGCAGCCAAAACUGGCGAGCUAGAGUACGGUAGAGGGUGGUGGAAUUUCCUGUGUAGCGGUGAAAUGCGUAGAUAUAGGAAGGAACACCAGUGGCGAAGGCGACCACCUGGACUGAUACUGACACUGAGGUGCGAAAGCGUGGGGAGCAAACAGGAUUAGAUACCCCAGUAGUCC